rnacentral:rRNA from 1 species
UGUGUAGGCGGUUGCUUAAGUUUGGUGUGAAAUCUCCCGGCUCAACUGGGAGGGUGCGCCGAAUACUGAGUGACUAGAGUGCGGGAGAGGGGAGUGGAAUUCCUGGUGUAGCGGUGAAAUGCGUAGAUAUCAGGAGGAACACCGGUGGUGUAGACGGCUCUCUGGACCGUAACUGACGCUGAGACACGAAAGCGUGGGUAGCAAACAGGAUUAGAUACCCUGGUAGUCCACGCCCUAAACGAUGCAUAUUUGGUGUGGGCAGUUCAGUCUGUCCGUGCCGGAGCUAACGCGUUAAAUAUGCCGCCUGGGGAGUACAGUCGCAAGGCUGAA